rnacentral:rRNA from 1 species
UGGGGAAUAUUGCACAAUGGGCGCAAGCCUGAUGCAGCCAUGCCGCGUGUAUGAAGAAGGCCUUCGGGUUGUAAAGUACUUUCAGCGGGGAGGAAGGGAGUAAAGUUAAUACCUUUGCUCAUUGACGUUACCCGCAGAAGAAGCACCGGCUAACUCCGUGCCAGCAGCCGCGGUAAUACGGAGGGUGCAAGCGUUAAUCGGAAUUACUGGGCGUAAUGCGCACGCAGGCGGUUUGUUAAGUCAGAUGUGAAAUCCCCGGGCUCAACCUGGGAACUGGAUCUGAUACUGGCAAGCAUGAGUCUCGUAGAAGGGGGUUGAAUUCCAGGUUUAGCGGUGAAAAGCGUGGGGAUCUGGGAGAAUACCGGUGGCGAAGGCCGCCCCCUGGACGAAGACUGACGCUCAGGUGCGAAAGCGUGGGGAGCAAACAGG